rnacentral:rRNA from 1 species
CCUUAGUAACGGCGAGUGAAGCGGCAAUAGCUCAAAUUUGAAAGCUGGCCCCUUCGGGGUCCGCAUUGUAAUUUGUAGAGGAUGAUUCGGCGAGGGCUCCCGUCUAAGUCCCCUGGAACGGGGCGUCAUAGAGGGUGAGAAUCCCGUAUGUGAUGGGUUGCCUUAGCCAUGUGAAUCUCCUUCGACGAGUCGAGUUGUUUGGGAAUGCAGCUCUAAAUGGGAGGUAAAUUUCUUCUAAAGCUAAAUACCGGCCAGAGACCGAUAGCGCACAAGUAGAGUGAUCGAAAGAUGAAAAGCACUUUGGAAAGAGAGUUAAAAAGUACGUGAAAUUGUUGAAAGGGAAGCGCUUGCAGCCAGACUUGUCCGCAGUUGCUCAACCGGUCUCCUGACCGGUGUACUCUUCUGCGGCCAGGCCAGCAUCAGUUCGGGCGGUCGGAUAAAGGCCUCGGGAAUGUAGCUCCUCUCGGGGAGUGUUAUAGCCCGGGGCGGAAUGCGACCAGCCUGGACUGAGGAUCUCGCUUCGGCUAGGAUGCUGGCGUAAUGGCUGUAAGCGGCCCGUCUU